GAUGAACGCUGGCGGCGUGCCUAAUACAUGCAAGUCGAGCGAACAGACGAGGAGCUUGCUCCUCUGACGUUAUCGGCGGACGGGUGAGUAACACGUGGAUAACCUACCUAUAAGACUGGGAUAACUUCGGGAAACCGGAGCUAAUACCCGAUAAUAUAUUGAACCUCAUGGUUCAAUCGUGGAAUAAGGUUUUGCUUUCACUUAUAGAUUGAUCCGCCGCUCAUUAGCUAGUUGGUAAGGUAACGGCUUACCAAGGCAACGAUGCGUAGCCGACCUGAAAGGGUGGUCGGCCAGACUGGAUCUGAGACACGGUCCAGACUCCUACGGUAGGCAGCAGUAGGGAAUCUUCCGCAAGGGGCGAGAGCCUGAUGGAGCAACGCCGCGGGAGUGAUGAAGGUCUACGGAUCGUAAAACUCUGUUAUUAGGGAAGAACAAAUGUGUAAGUAACUAUGCACGUCUUGACGGUACCUAAUCAGAAAGCCACGGCUAACUACGUG
rnacentral:rRNA from 1 species